rnacentral:lncRNA from 1 species
GGAGAUUCAGCAGGUUGAAGAUGUGGGUGAUCGCUGUGUGGGUGAUAUCUGGAGUAGGGUUCAUGGUAGUGAUGCUAUUGGUGUGCUCCACUCGUAAAGUCAGGGCAAGAGGGAAAGGUUACAGAAACAAGAGACGAACUACUUCUUCCUACUCCAAGCCGGGGUUCGAGUGAUCAGGCUGCGCUCAUUUUGGCUUGAAAGUCUUUGAGCAUUGUAUUUGUAGAGAUACAAAUUAAAACCAAAAAGGAUAUUAUUCCCCACAAAGUCAUAUAUAGAGUUUAUUUGUAUUCUUAAGGAUUUGUUCUUUGUUUUUAAGAAUUCUAAAUUGGCAUUUUGUUCUCAAUCUCUUAGUUCAAAGCACACGACAUUAGGGGACAAGCUGGAGGAUGGAUGCCUCCAAUAACCCUUCUUUUCAAGUUUUAAACCAAAAGGGUCACUUGAGUUUAGUAGCCCAAGUGUAAGUCUGUACUCCCACUUCCAAUGGAUAAUUUCAUUUAUUUAUUAGGAGGAAGAUUUUGCUUUAGAAUUCUUUCAGAAAUUUAAUUCAAAAAAUUUAAUCUUCUGUUUGCUCAAAAAAAAAAAAUUAAUCUUCUGUUAAUAUAAGCGAAAUAUUAAUAAUAAACAUGUUUAAAGAAAACUAUUGAAAACAUUAUCGUGUACCUUAGAAAAAAAUAUAUACACUUUAGAAGAAAAAGUGAUAAUAUCUGUUUAAAAUAUAGUAUAUUACGGACUACUUACUUUAUCUCAUAAAGUGUGUGCCUUUUCUUUUUAUCUAUCAACGGAAUAAACAGACAUGGUCCCAGACGACCUGCAAAAUUUUGAAUUCAAAUUUAAACAGUGAAAAAGCUAAAUACAACGGACAAAAAUCCACAUUUCCACUUUUUUUCUCUUUGUAAUUUUUGUAAGCAACUCUUAUAUUCAAAACAAAACUUGGGAUCCUUGUAACUAACUAGAUACAAUCUAAUUUUUCACUUGACUGUCUGUAAAAUUAGAACCUUGUUCCAAAAAGAUUAAUUAGCAUGGGAGAAUCUGCUUGCCUCAUGCAGCCAUUCUCAUACGCAGCUCCACAAGUGGGUUCUUCUCAGUUUCCUCAUUCUUUCUACUUCUAUUUCAAUUCCUUGUCUUACUUAAAAAAAUCACUUAGAUAUAUUUUGUUUUAUCUGUUUUGCUUAUAGAGAUUUCUAUCUGUAUCUUGUUGUGUAACAGGGAGAUUCUCUUGGUGCUUUAGGACAGUCUGUGUCCUUUGGGAGAUUCAUGUCUGAGAGACUUGACUGGGAAAAAUGGUCAUCUUUCCCGACACAGAACCGUUAUGUGGCGGAGGCAGAGAGAUACUCGAGGCCAGGGUCUGUGGCUCAGAAGAAAGCCUUCUUCGAAGCUCACUACAAGAAACUCGCUGCAGCAAGAAAAGCUGCUGCCGAAGAGGCACUCUUGCUCCGACAGCAAACCUCUGAUGAGUUGGUUCCAGUUCAACAAGAAAAAGAUAUCAAUGGCGUAGGAAAGAAAGAAUCAGACCCCCCGGUUCUUGAGAUUCCAAGAGCCUCUUUAGAUGCUGAUAUGAAAGUAGCUGCAGAAAAAGAAUCAGACCCGGUUCUUGAGAUUCCAAGAGCAUCUUUAGAUGCUGAGAUGAAAGUAGUUGCAAGAAAAGUAAGCAGGUCUGGUAAUAGACAGUCUGAUGAGAAAGAGAACCGUGGGAAAGACGAGUCAAAGAUCAAUGGCAAAGGCUCUACAGUUAAAGAAGAACAACAGGUGGAGAAGACGCCUAUGAUCCCUAAGGUAAAUUUUGAUUAUAGAUUUUUUUUUUCCAAUGGCUUCUUGUGUUCUUCAUCUGUUAGUUUUUUUUUGAAGAAGAAGAAAUCUAAAGAAGCACAACCAAAGAGCAGUACAAAGCCGAGAGUGUCUAAGCUCAAUAUAUCGGAGAGGACUCCAAGUAAAAAGCCUAGUAACAAGAGCAGCUCUUACAAUUUCACACCAGCAAAAGAGUUCAAUAGGUUAGUGUCCAUCAUAAGGAAGAUUGAUGGGUCAUCAAGAGCUUCUUCUUCUAAGCUACAAACCAAAGAAUGCAAAACUCCUCUCAGGACACCAUCAAGCAAUAAUAAUAAGGUGAGUGUUUCACUCAUUUUAUGAUAGGGUAAACCAAGAGAAGUGCCUUUACGUUAUAGUGAUUGGAUUUGUAGGUGUCUGCAAAGGGAAUUGUGGAGGACUCUUUGUUCACCACACCUUUGUCUAGUAACAGAAGGUAAACACACACUGCCUCAAUAAACUCUUUAAGUACUUAAAUGAUGUGUGGUUGGUUAGAGAAGUAACUCAUCAGGUGUUAAAAGUAAAUGCAGAGCUCCUGAUUCUUCUACCAAGACAGGUCGAGGAAGAUGGAAUUUCCUCCCUGCAGAGUAAGAACUCAUCUUUAUUUUUUUUUUUUUGGUCAAAGUAAGAACUCAUCUUUAAUUAAAUGAAUUAUUGCACAAUUCAUAUGUAUAAUAAUGUGUGUUUAUUGGGGGAAGCAGGACGCCGAGCUGCUUCACACCAUUUGGAUUAAGAACAGAGGAGAGAGCAGAGAGAAGAAAAAAGGCAAGAUGAACUUUGAGUGAUUUUUGGUUUCUUGUUAUCUACUACGCUUUAGUCUUUGUCGCUGAACAUUUGUAAAUGGUUCUUGAUGUUUCAGAAGCUAGAGGAAAAAUUCAAAGCCAUGGAGGCACAGAAGGAGAAGAAGGAGAAGGAGGAGGAGAGGAGUGUGGAGAAAGAAGAGAGUAAACUAAGGCAAAGGCUGUGCUUCAAGGCGAAGCCACUUCCAAAUUUCUACAAACACAGACCUAAAUCCACUGACCAAACUAAAAAAGUAAGCUCAUCAUCUUUUAUUUUUAAUUGUUUUGCCAAAGAACAUAUAUAAAGCUCAUCAUUGUGUCUGAUAGAGAUCUGUUUUCGUCUUUUGUAGGCUCUGUUACGGUAGCAGAGAGAGAUGCUAAAGAAUAAAUCAUUCAGAGAUGUGAACUACUGUAUAUUGCGCAGUCUUAGCGCCUGUGUGGAGGAUUAGUCUCUCUAGAAGGAAUCCUUCAACUACUCUUUUAUUCUUUUCUCUGAGACACAUUGGAUUUGAUCAUUUGUAUUAAUAUUUGUAAUUUUGUGUUCUAUAAGUAUCUUUUUGCUUCUUUUUAAAACCCCACAAAACAAACUGUAAACUUAGGUAGAGACAAAGAGCAUUUAACGCAUCCAAAAAUGUUACAAAAACAUUAGUAGUGUAGUUUAAUUAAUAAUAGGUCCCUUUAAUCUUUUGAUAUAAUAAUUCGCAUAUAGUAAAGAUUUGGUCUCAUCUCAAACGUUACACAAAGUCAUAUGAAACACAUAAGUUGUUUAUCAACUUAGAGAGAGAAGAAGAAGAAUCCGACGGCGGCAACAGUGCCGGCGAUGGAGAGCUUCACAUUAGUGGCGCUGCCGUCGAGUACCUCGGGGCCGGGGGUGGGUGCAUCGGAAGAUGGUCCAUCAACAACCUCUGGGGUAGGUGCUGGUGGGGAGGAGACGGUGGGUCCCCCGGCAGAUUCACUCGGGCUGGUUGCUGCGUAAUCGUCUUCGGCUGUUGGUUCCUCUGCCACAGGGGACGAUGCUUUGGGUGCUGAGGCUGACGAUGAUAUUUUUGGUUAGGUACCCAGCAAUUAACAAACCGGUAGGAGUUCUUUACUGGCUUCAACACAGUGAAGAUGCCAAGAAUGUGGAUUGGGUCGUUAUUCUUGAUGCUGACCAGAUCAUUAGAGGUCCUAUCAUCCCUUGGGAACUUGGUGCUGAAAGGGGUAGACCCUUUGCUGCCCACUACGGGUACUUUUACCUCUCUUCUUCACCCUUACCUACCAUUUGUGUUUGGCUCUCUCUCACACCCUCCCUCUUUCUUUUAUUAUCUCCUAUCAAAACAGCUACUUGGUUGGCUGCGAUAACAUGCUUGUCCGAUUGCACACUAAUCAUCCUGAGCUCUGUGACAAAGUUGGCGGUCUUCUCGCUAUGCACAUCGAUGAUCUUCGCGUCCUGGCCCCUCUUUGGCUUUCCAAGACUGAAGAUGUUCGCCAAGACACUGCUCACUGGUCCACCAACCUUACCGGUGAUGUUUACGGCAAAGGUUGGAUCAGUGAGAUGUAUGGUUACUCCUUCGGUGCUGCUGAAGUAAAUCUCCUUCUCUUUCUGCUCAUGCUCCAAGUGUGUUUGACUUCCGUUAUCAACAACUUGUGUUUUUUUUUAUCGUCAGGCAGGACUGAAGCACAAGAUAAACGACGACUUGAUGAUAUAUCCAGGGUAUGUUCCACGAGAAGGUGUUGAGCCUAUUCUGAUGCACUACGGUUUGCCUUUUUCCAUCGGUAACUGGUCUUUCACUAAACUUGACCACCACGAAGACAACAUUGUCUAUGACUGCAACCGUCUCUUCCCCGAGCCUCCAUACCCACGAGAGGUAGGGUAGGGGUAACUAACUCUUUUCUCAACUCCACUUCAAAUACUAAGAAAACAGUUUUCAUUAUAAAAAUAAUAUAUAGGUGAAAAUGAUGGAACCUGAUCAGUACAAGCGAAGAGGUCUACUCUUGAGUCUAGAAUGCAUGAAUACAUUGAACGAGGGACUCAUAAUGCGCCACGCUGAAAACGGGUGUCCCAAGCCAAAGUGGUCCAAAUACUUGAGCUUUCUCAAGAGCAAAACUUUCAUGGAGUUAACAAAGCCUAAACUGCUUGCACCAGGAAGUGUAAAUAUCUUGCCAGACCAACACCAACACCAACACCAACACCAGCAGCCGCCACCCGUCGAUGAAUUCAAAGGACCUUAUCCAAAGAUCCACACACUGUUUUCCACCGAGUGCACAACUUAUUUCGACUGGCAAACAGUUGGGUUCAUGCACAGUUUCAGGUUGAGUGGUCAGCCCGGGAACAUCACUCGGCUUCUCAGUUGCACAGAUGAAGAUCUUAAAAAGUAUAAAGGUCAUGACUUGGCCCCCACGCAUUAUGUUCCUUCCAUGAGCAGACAUCCUCUCACAGGGGAUUGGUAAGUUUAACAUCAGGAGGGUUUAAAGUUACUAUAACUUGAUCUGAUAUUUGGAAUGAAUCAGGUACCCGGCAAUUAACAAACCGGCGGCGGUUGUUCAUUGGCUUCACCACACAAAUAUAGAUGCAGAAUACAUAGUCAUUCUUGAUGCUGACAUGAUCCUCAGAGGACCCAUCACCCCUUGGGAGUAUAAGGCAGCUCUAGGACGUCCAGUUUCUACUCCUUACGAGUAAAUAUACAAAUCUCUCUUUCUCUGUUUGGAAGAUGCAUAAACUAUUUCCUUUUGUUAAACUAUUUCUUUUUGUUUGUAGCUAUCUUAUUGGGUGUGACAACGAUCUUGCAAAACUUCACACGCGUAACCCCGAGGCAUGUGACAAAGUUGGUGGAGUCAUAAUAAUGCACAUAGAUGACCUCAGGAAAUUCGCAAUGUACUGGUUGCUGAAAACGCAGGAGGUUCGAGCAGACAAAGAACAUUACGCAAAGGAGUUAACAGGGGAUAUAUAUGAGUCCGGUUGGAUCAGUGAAAUGUACGGUUAUUCCUUCGGUGCUGCUGAGGUAAGACUUAUCAUAACCCUGUAAUCCUCUGAUCAGUGAUUGUGAUUAAUUGGUCUAAAAUACUUUGGUAUAUUGACAUACAAUUGCAGCUGAAUUUGAGGCAUAUCAUAAACAAAGAGAUAUUGAUAUACCCUGGUUACGUCCCUGAACCGGGUGUUGACUAUCGAGUUUUCCAUUACGGUCUUGAGUUCAAAGUAGGGAACUGGAGCUUCGACAAGGCGAACUGGAGGAACACCGAUAUGAUCAACAAGUGCUGGUCUAAGUUCCCGGACCCGCCUACUCCUUCAGAGGUUCAUGAAACGGACAAUGAUCUACGGCAAAGAGACCUUCUCAGUAUUGAAUGUGGACAGAAGCUAAACGAAGCUCUGUUGCUGCAUCACAAGAGAAGGAACUGCCCUGAACCUGGAUCCGAGUCCGAGUCGAAGGAGGAGAGUAUCUCCUUGGGUUCGAGAAAAGUGGGAAAGUUGGAAACGAAACAAGCCAAAGGAAGCGAUGAGACUACGGAAGAAACGACGUCAGAAGGGAGAUUCAGCAGGUUGAAGAUGUGGGUGAUUGCUGUGUGGGUGAUAUCUGGAGUAGGGUUCAUGGUAGUGAUGCUAUUGGUGUGCUCCACUCGUAAAGUCAGGGCAAGAGGGAAAGGUUACAGAAACAAGAGACGAACUACUUCUUCCUACUCCAAGCCGGGGUUCGAGUGAUCAGGCUGCGCUCAUUUUGGCUUGAAAGUCUUUGAGCAUUGUAUUUGUAGAGAUACAAAUUAAAACCAAAAAGGAUAUUAUUCCCCACAAAGUCAUAUAUAGAGUUUAUUUGUAUUCUUAAGGAUUUGUUCUUUGUUUUUAAGAAUUUUAAAUUGGCAUUUUGUUCUUCUAACAUGCAAAGGAACCAAAAUCUCUCAAUCUCUUUAGUUCAAAGCACACGACAUUAGGGACAAGCUGGAGGAUGUCUCCAACAACCUUUUAAGUUUUAACCAAAAGGUCACUUGAGUUUAGUGGCCCACCCAAGUGUAAGCAGUCCUGAGUGUAAGUCUGUACACCCACUUUUUUUUUCUUUUUUGUUAAAAAGUAUUCCCACUUCCAAUGGAUAAUUUCAUUUAUUUAUUAGGAAGAAGAUUUUGCUUUAGAAUUCUUCUAGAAAUUUAAUGUUGUUGGAUUCAAAAAAAAAAAAUUAAUCUUCUGUUAAUUUAAGCGAAAUAUUAGUAAACAUGUUUUAAAAAGAAAACUAUUGAAGACAUUAUCGUGUACCUAACAAAAAUAUAUAUACUUUAGAAGAAAAAGUGAUAAUAUAUCUAUUUAAAAAAUAAUAUAUUACGGACUACUUACUUUAUCUCAUAAAGUGUGUGCCUUUUCUUUUUAUCUAUCAACGGAAUAAACAGACAUGGUCCCAGGCUACCAGCAAAAUUUUGAAUUCAAAUUUAAACAGUGAAAAAGCUAAAUACAACGGACAAAAAUCCACAUUUCCACUUUUUUUCUCUUUGUAUUUUUUUUUGUAAGCAACUCUUAUAUUCAAAACAAAACUUGGGAUCCUUGUAACUAACUAGAUACAAUCUAAUUUUUCACUUGACUCACCAACACCAACACCAGCAGCCGCCACCCGUCGAUGAAUUCAAAGGACCUUAUCCAAAGAUCCACACACUGUUUUCCACCGAGUGCACAACUUAUUUCGACUGGCAAACAGUUGGGUUCAUGCACAGUUUCAGGUUGAGUGGUCAGCCCGGGAACAUCACUCGGCUUCUCAGUUGCACAGAUGAAGAUCUUAAAAAGUAUAAAGGUCAUGACUUGGCCCCCACGCAUUAUGUUCCUUCCAUGAGCAGACAUCCUCUCACAGGGGAUUGGUAAGUUUAACAUCAGGAGGGUUUAAAGUUACUAUAACUUGAUCUGAUAUUUGGAAUGAAUCAGGUACCCGGCAAUUAACAAACCGGCGGCGGUUGUUCAUUGGCUUCACCACACAAAUAUAGAUGCAGAAUACAUAGUCAUUCUUGAUGCUGACAUGAUCCUCAGAGGACCCAUCACCCCUUGGGAGUAUAAGGCAGCUCUAGGACGUCCAGUUUCUACUCCUUACGAGUAAAUAUACAAAUCUCUCUUUCUCUGUUUGGAAGAUGCAUAAACUAUUUCCUUUUGUUAAACUAUUUCUUUUUGUUUGUAGCUAUCUUAUUGGGUGUGACAACGAUCUUGCAAAACUUCACACGCGUAACCCCGAGGCAUGUGACAAAGUUGGUGGAGUCAUAAUAAUGCACAUAGAUGACCUCAGGAAAUUCGCAAUGUACUGGUUGCUGAAAACGCAGGAGGUUCGAGCAGACAAAGAACAUUACGCAAAGGAGUUAACAGGGGAUAUAUAUGAGUCCGGUUGGAUCAGUGAAAUGUACGGUUAUUCCUUCGGUGCUGCUGAGGUAAGACUUAUCAUAACCCUGUAAUCCUCUGAUCAGUGAUUGUGAUUAAUUGGUCUAAAAUACUUUGGUAUAUUGACAUACAAUUGCAGCUGAAUUUGAGGCAUAUCAUAAACAAAGAGAUAUUGAUAUACCCUGGUUACGUCCCUGAACCGGGUGUUGACUAUCGAGUUUUCCAUUACGGUCUUGAGUUCAAAGUAGGGAACUGGAGCUUCGACAAGGCGAACUGGAGGAACACCGAUAUGAUCAACAAGUGCUGGUCUAAGUUCCCGGACCCGCCUACUCCUUCAGAGGUUCAUGAAACGGACAAUGAUCUACGGCAAAGAGACCUUCUCAGUAUUGAAUGUGGACAGAAGCUAAACGAAGCUCUGUUGCUGCAUCACAAGAGAAGGAACUGCCCUGAACCUGGAUCCGAGUCCGAGUCGAAGGAGGAGAGUAUCUCCUUGGGUUCGAGAAAAGUGGGAAAGUUGGAAACGAAACAAGCCAAAGGAAGCGAUGAGACUACGGAAGAAACGACGUCAGAAGGGAGAUUCAGCAGGUUGAAGAUGUGGGUG